rnacentral:rRNA from 1 species
GGCGAACGCUGGCGGCGUGCUUAAGACAUGCAAGUCGAACGGCAGUCUUCGGACUGUAGUGGCGCACGGGUGAGUAACGCGUAACUGACCUACCCCAAAGUCGCGGAUAACGAUUCGAAAGAAUCGCUAAUACGUGAUGUGCUGUCAGAUUGUGUUCUGCCAGUAAAGAUUGAUUGCUUUGGGAUGGGGUUGCGUUCCAUCAGCUAGUUGGUGGGGUAAAGGCCCACCAAGGCGACGACGGAUAGCCGGCCUGAGAGGGUGGCCGGCCACAGGGGCACUAAGACACGGGUCCCACUCCUACGGGAGGCAGCAGUUAGGAAUCUUCCACAAUGGGCGAAAGCCUGAUGGAGCGACGCCGCGUGAGGGAUGAAGGUCUUCGGAUCGUAAACCUCUGAAUCAGGGACGAAAGACACUUCGGUGGGAUGACGGUACCUGAGUAAUAGCACCGGCUAACUCCGUGCCAGCCGCCGCAGUAAUAC